AUUGAACGCUGGCGGCAGGCCUAACACAUGCAAGUCGAGCGGCAGCGGGAAAGUAGCUUGCUACUUUUGCCGGCGAGCGGCGGACGGGUGAGUAAUGCCUGGGAAAUUGCCCAGUCGAGGGGGAUAACAGUUGGAAACGACUGCUAAUACUGCAUACGCCCUACGGGGGAAAGCAGGGGACCUUCGGGCCUUGCGCGACUGGAUAUGCCCAGGUGGGAUUAGCUAGUUGGUGAGGUAAUGGCUCACCAAGGCGACGAUCCCUAGCUGGUCUGAGAGGAUGAGCGGCCACACUGGAACUGAGACACGGUCCAGACUCCUACGGGAGGCAGCAGUGGGGAAUAUUGCACAAUGGGGGAAACCCUGAUGCAGCCAUGCCGCGUGUGUGAAGAAGGCCUUCGGGUUGUAAAGCACUUUCAGCGAGGAGGAAAGGUUGAUGCCUAAUACGUAUCAACUGUGACGUUACUCGCAGAAGAAGCACCGGCUAACUCCGUGCCAGCCGCCGCCGUAA
rnacentral:rRNA from 1 species